rnacentral:tRNA from 1 species
GGGUAUAGCUCAGUGGUAGAGUUCAUGACUAGCAUGCAUGAGGUCCUGGUUCGAUCCCCAGUACCUCCA